AUUUCUUACACUAUAAUUUAUAUAGUUUAAAAAAACAUUAUAUUUUCACUAUAAAAUUAAACUUUGUUUUAUAA
rnacentral:tRNA from 1 species